AACGAACGCUGGCGGCAUGCCUAACACAUGCAAGUCGAACGAGACCUUCGGGUCUAGUGGCGCACGGGUGCGUAACGCGUGGGAACCUGCCCUUAGGUUCGGAAUAACUCCCCGAAAGGGGUGCUAAUACCGGAUAAUGUCUUCGGACCAAAGAUUUAUCGCCUUUGGAUGGGCCCGCGUUGGAUUAGCUAGUUGGUAGGCUAAAAGCCUACCAAGGCGACGAUCCAUAGCUGGUCUGAGAGGAUGAUCAGCCACACUGGGACUGAGACACGGCCCAGACUCCUACGGGAGGCAGCAGUGGGGAAUAUUGGACAAUGGGCGAAAGCCUGAUCCAGCAAUGCCGCGUGAGUGAUGAAGGCCUUAGGGUUGUAAAGCUCUUUUACCCGGGAUGAUAAUGACAGUACCGGGGGAAUAAGCUCCGGCUAACUCCGUG
rnacentral:rRNA from 1 species